rnacentral:rRNA from 1 species
ACGCUGGCGGUAGGCUUAACACAUGCAAGUCGAGCGAGAAAGUAUCUUCGGAUACGAGUAUAGCGGCGGACGGGUGAGUAACGCGUAGGAAUCUACCUAGUAGAAGGGGAUAGCCCGGGGAAACUCGGAUUAAUACCGUAUACCUCCUUUGGGAGAAAGAGGGCCUCUCUUGAUGCUCUCGCUAUUAGAUGAGCCUGCGUAAGAUUAGCUUGUUGGUAAGGUAAUGGCUUACCAAGGCUACGAUCUUUAGCUGGUCUGAGAGGACGAUCAGCCACAUUGGGACUGAGACACGGCCCAGACUCCUACGGGAGGCAGCAGUGGGGAAUAUUGGACAAUGGGCGCAAGCCUGAUCCAGCCAUACCGCGUGUGUGAAGAAGGCCUUCGGGUUGUAAAGCACUUUAAGCAGGGAGAAAAAGUUAUAAGUUAAUACCUUAUAGCCGUGAUGUUACCUGCAGAAUAAGCACCGGCUAAUUCCGUGCCAGCAGCCGCGGUAAUACGGAAGGUGCAAGCGUUAAUCGGAAUUACUGGGCGUAAAGCGCGCGUAGGUGGUUUGUUAAGUUGGAUGUGAAAGCCCUGGGCUCAACCUAGGAACUGCAUCCAAAACUAACUCACUAGAGUACGAUAGAGGGAGGUAGAAUUCAUAGUGUAGCGGUGGAAUGCGUAGAUAUUAUGAAGAAUACCAGUGGCGAAGGCGGCCUCCUGGAUCUGUACUGACACUAAGGUGCGAAAGCGUGGGUAGCGAACAGGAUUAGAUACCCUGGUAGUCCACGCCGUAAACGAUGACAACUAGCUGUUGGGAGACAAUGUCUUUCAGUGGCGCAGCUAACGUUUUAAGUUGUCCGCC